GUGGCUUUGAAACCAUGCCUCCUUCAGGCCCUGCAGGAGAUGUCUAUCGUCUGGCCUUGACCAUCAGUUCCGUUCCUCUCAGAUGAACAGUAGCCCACCACGUCAAGAGCUGGCCCUGCGCUUUUACCCACACCUAUGAUUGUUCUGCCAGUCUCCUGUGCUAGGUUUUACAUCUGUCAGUCCAGGGCUUGACUGUUCAUGGGAGGUAGGUAUAUUCUGUGUCCUUCGAAAAACACCCUUACUCUUGGGGAAAAAAAAAAAGCUUCCCACAAGACGAUACCUUCUACUGUUUUCUCAUUUCUUUAAUUUGUGAAGGUUUUCAACUUCUGUUUCCACUAUAGCCUUCUAAAAAGAUAGGCCAAUUGGGAUAAGAUAUCAUGAAACUGCAUGACUUCCACAAAGACGCACCAUUUACUGCUAGGAAAUGAGCUGGCAUGCUUUAGGUUUUAAACAUAAUCAGAAGGGGAAAAAAAAUCCAUAGAUAGUCUUAGUCCCCAGUUAAGCAAGUCUCUGUAUAUUGUAUCUUUCUCUAUAUAUCAUAUUCCAGGAGCAUAUUUAAUUUUAAAUGCAUCUUUUGUGUGACCAUCACUCUGGACUCUGACACAUCAUAGGCCAUAAAUUUUUGUUUAAAAGCUUUUUUAAAAAUUAAAAAAAAACAAAAACAAAAAAACCCACAGAACCUAUAGCCUUCUUUUCUCUGUGCACUGCAAUGUCUAUCUAUCCACUAGAGGGCAGCACAUGACUUUAAUGACGCGCUUCCCCAUCCUUCCUGAAGGCCCUCUUAUGGACAUGGGUGGCCACCAGUUACAAAGCCCAGGAAUUUAUGUUUGUUCUCAACAGUAACUCUUAUUUCAAGAAACCUGAAUACAAUUCUGUCCUCAAAAGUAGCUCAUGUACUUCCAAGCACAGCCUGGAUUUUUACAUGAAACUAUACAUAUUUUGAUUUUAAAAUACCUUUAUAUAAGAUAUACUUCUCUUUUCUCUUUUCCCCUACUGUGAAUGUGUUUGUUGAAUGCUUACACCAGUUUUUAGAUCAGAUUCUCAGCACAUGCCUGAUGCCAGUACUUGAGGAACAAAGGUGGGGAGGAUCACAGAGAGUUGGAGGCCAGCCUCGUCUACCGAGCAAACCCCAAGCCAGUCAGCACUGCACAGCAAGACACUGUCUCAAUUAAUUAAGAUAAGAUUGACUGCAGCAUUCUCUAGGCAAUGAGACUAGGUGUCGGAAAGGAUUAGCUCGGCAGGUUGGAUCACAGAACUGGACUUCAUCCACUUGUAGUGUUGGGACAUGUAGCCAAUAUGUUUAUUGUAUUUAUGCCUGCAGUUGAAAGCUUAAAUGCAUUUAAUAAGCAGAUCACGUGCUUGUCUUUAGCAAUACAAAUGCCUCGAGCCUCUUUGUGUAAGCCAGUGUUCUGGACUUCAUUGAUAAGCCCAUGCUUUUAAAAUAUAGGAACUCCUCAAUUUCUAAAAACUGUACCAAGGGGCUAGAGGGAUAACUCAGUGCAAGAAACACUGGCUGCUCUUUCAAAGAACCAGGGUUUGCUUCCCAGCACCUAUAAGGCAGCUCACAGCCCCAAGUGAUCUGACACCCUCUUCUGGCCUCUGUGGGCACCAAGAGUUCGCAUGACUCACACAGACAUACCUGUAGACUAAAGAUCCAGCUACCAAAAAUAAAAAUAACACAGAAAAUAAAAGUAAAAGGAAAAUAUAACUAGCCCAUAUUAUACUUCCAUGUUUCUUGCUCAUGCUGCAACCACUGUUAAUACCUCUUAAGUCACCCAUCACUCAAGUGAGGAAUAUAUUUUAAAUUUUCUGUAUUCUCUUUCUUUUCUUUUUUUUUUCUGGGUUUCUCUGCAUAGCCCUGGCUGUCCUGGAACUCACUCUGUAGACCAGACUGGCCUUGAACUCAAAAAUCCUCCUGCCUCUGCCUCCCAAGUGCUAGGAUUAAAGGCAUGUGCCACCACUGCCUGGCUCCAUAUUCUCUUCCAGCUCUCCAUGUCCAGUCUCUCACAUGCUAACCUAUAACUAUCAGACCUUGGCUCUUUAGGAUGAGUAAGGGGCUUGCUUAGCCUCAGGGAAGCCCUACCUCCUAUCCUUGAGUUAUUUCCUUUUCUGUUGCUGUGCUAAAACACCUUGAUCUUAUAGAAGGGCAGGUUUAUCUGAGUUUGUGGUUCCAGAGGGGUAACUAUCCAUCAUGGCACAGACACAUGGGAGCAAGCAGCAGGCACAGCGGCUGGAGCAGGGUGCUGAAAGCUUACGUCAUGGAGCACAGGCACAGAGCAGAGAGAACAACGUGUGAGUAUGGCCUUAGCUCUCAAAGUCCCAUCAGCAGUGACAGGCCUCCUCCACCAAAGGCCAGACCUCCUCAACCUCCCCCUAACACUGCCACCAGCUGGGGGCCAGAGGUUCGAAUGCCUCUGAGCAACAUUCUCAUUCAACACACUACAGUCUUCAAUCUGGAAAAGAAACAAACAUAAACACGAAGCUCAAAAGUAAAAAAGAAUCAGGCUGGAGAAAUGGAGCACGCACUGGUCUGCCAGAAGAGCCAAACUCAGUUCCCAGCACCCACAUCAGCUCACAGCCACCUUCCACUGCCGUUUUAGUGGGACCCAAUGUCUCCGGCUUCCAUGGUCACCUGAGGACAUGCACACACACAUACAUACAUACACAAACACCACUUUAAAAAUUAUAAAGUUAAACUUUAAAAAAAAAAAGCUUCCUGAAGUUGUAGUCCACUGGAGACAUGGUCAGCCUUGAAAAGGCAAAAAGAAAGCAAGAGGUUACCCAGGCAUUUUCCUCUCUGUGAUCAAGGCAGCCAGGCUUCUAGUAAAGCAGCUAGGGUCUUCGCUAGGCCUCAUCUCCCCCAACAAAACUGACAGCAAGCUCCCUUCACACAGCUGACCCCACUGAUCUUCUAGUGGAGUCUGUUUCAACAGUGUCUAUCAGUAACAUCUAAUGUUCCUGGUAAUACCAUUUUAAAACAAAUACAAAACAGUCUCCUAAGCCAAAUGGAAUUUUUUUCCUACAUAAAAGAAGGGCAGUUCAGAGACCUAGGCCACUGCUGUUCUUAUCCAGUCUAGGAAUCAAGCAGCCUCUGGGAUCCUGCCCUCCUCCGUCACUCAUUUUAGUCAUGGAGGAAACUGAAGACCAGCUCCUACUGGUUAACUUACGUUUGUCGGUUUGGGGUUUUCUUGUGUUGUUUUGUUCUGAGAAAUCGUUCUCAAAUUCCUACCCAGUCAGUGCUGGCUGCAUCACACUGGUUUGUAAGCCACAGAACUUCAGCUGCACAAAAAGGGACCAAGAAUUUGCCGUUCUUUUAGUCAGAAAUGUUCCCACCAUUUAGGGCUCUGUUACCAAGAAAGGAGAUGAGCAACACUGGAAAGAAACUGACAAUGCCUACCACAUGUUAAUUCAAAGUUCCCUGAUAAUAGUGACAUACUGGGAGCAAUUUAAAUGGUCUGGAGAAGAAAUGGUUAAGGGAAAUGCAAAAUGUUUGUAUAUUAAGCUAAUAUUUUAACUCUGACUAAGAUGCAGUGUCAAGCAAAAUAGGAUUAUGAAUGUAAAAUCAAAUAUCUGAAAACCUUCUUUUAAUACUAACAGUCAUUACCUAAGCACUCUGGUUAGUAAGGUAAUUUUACUCUGCACCUUUCCAUGUGUUUUGCAUGUUUUACAAAGAGCAUACAGUAUUUACAUGAUUACCGUGCAAAGAAAAAGACACUAGAGGCUUGGGAGAAGCCCAGCAGGUAAAGCCCUUGCUACACAAGUGUAAGAACUGGGGUAAGCCAGAUGGAUGUGAGAACUACCUUGUAACACCAGGGGACCGGCAGGGAAAGCAAAGAAGAGGGACGCCCAGAACAAGCUGGCUAGCCAGCCUGGAUGACUCAGGAGGCUUCAGCAAGGUGGAGAGGAUCAAGAAUGACAGCUGACAUCAACCUCUGGCUUCUACAUGCAUCUGCAUGCACACACCCACACACAAACACACGCUUAUACCUACACAUUUAUACACUCACACAUUCAAAUACACACUUAUGCACACACACAUACGCCUAUACAUAUACACAGUUACACACUCACAAAUACAUACAGAUGCAAAACAAGACUCCGAGAAACCAUCUUUAACAAUUCAAAAACAGACCAGCCUCUAAAACUUCUAAUCUAUACGUCAGACUUCAACCCCUGGUUUUUGAAAGUUCCCCAGUAGACGUCAUUUUCAUACCAAUAAUAGCACAGGGUGCACUGGCUAGUAGACUUUAAUGACCCUAAGAACAGUAGCAAGAGUGGUUGUUCCCUUUGUAUUUUAAAGCCAGCUGAUAUGAACUGUGCAUCAACUCUGUUUCCUGUGAAUUUUCAGUAUGAUACCAGAAGACAGCAAAGGCUUACGCCAAUGCCUCGUGCAUGCUGCACACUGCACACACGUAUAUCUGAAUCGCAGCCACAACUUCCACUAGUCAUUGCCCCCUUCUUAUUCUGUCUGCUGUAAGCACACAUUAAGCUUUUCUACUGCCAGAUAGAUGAAAUAUUUGAAAUCAAAGACAGCCUUCCCUACAGGUGUGACAGUAAGUCCUUGGCCUCGUUUCUUCUUCUCUCUAAAAUGGAGAGAAUGAUGACUUCUUUACAGCAUCAAAGGACGUUGAAAAGAUCAAAUAAAACAGCUGAGAGGAGGUAUUUUGAGAUGCACAUGAGUAACGCUAGGUACAUAGACUCGUCACAGAGUCACAAGCUUCUGCACACGUGUGGUCGGGUUUCAUAGGCAGAAGCCGACUAUCAUCUCUGGUGCUGCCCACAACACCUGUAGCCACAAUGGCCUAACUGGUUGGCUGCUACUUCAAACACAGCAGGAAACUGAGAAAAGCAGGUGUUAGAAGGAAGAGGGUGGAAUCACCCCCACAAAGAUGCAUCCUGACAAAGGCAGCCAGAAUGGUACCAUGCUCUUGGAUAUUGUGAGUGAACUGGAAUUUGUCCCCAAAACUAUAUUUUACUAAAGGACUUUUAAAAAUAGAGGAAUGUGAUUUUUCUCAAAGUGUCAGGUUGCAGAUCCCACUAAUGUCAAACAUCUGCAAACUAAAUAUUUUAAACUUCUCACAGAC
rnacentral:lncRNA from 1 species